AGUAGUGGGCCCUGGGGAUUAGCAUGGAUCUGGAAGUCAUUGAUGUGUCUCAAAUGGCACUCUAUUUGCUUUAUGGUGCUCUACAGGGCGCUUGUCAAAAGUAGUGCAUUAUAAAGUGAAUAGGGUGCCAUUUGGGACGAGGGCCAAUCUGAACGCAGGGGGAUAUAUAGGAAUCAGUGGGAAUGGGUUGUUUGUAAUGAGAACAAUAAAGCAGAUCUGGGCCUUUAUUCACAAAGCGUGGGAGUGAUGAUCUAGGAUCAGUUUAGCCUUUUAGACCAGGGAUGAGCAACGGGCUCCCCCCCCGAACUCUGUCGGGGUCUCAACUUAUUGUUGAGCAUUAGAAUGGUAGAAUACACAAGGUGCAAUAUUGAAAUUUGGUUGUGCAUCAGCAGUUGUUCUCUUGUUAUCUCAGUCACCGACAGUCACUCAAAUACCAAUGUCAGCUAAAUCAUUUUAGAUUUGUAAAUUAGUCUAGCCAGCUAUCUACACUUGUAAUCAUAGUCAAAUUACCGGCCGGGGGGGCCCCCAUUGAAUUUGUUAGUCAGUCUCAUGCUGAUAUCAUAUUCAAAACUACAAACAUUUCUCUCCACCCUAUUGCUAAAUUAGCAGAAUUGCAGUAAAUUAGCUGUAAAACUCUAUUUUUCUUUGCCCCAUGGCAAAAUUAGUGGAAUUACAGAGAAUGUGUCAUAAAAUUGCUAAAUCUUCUCUCCGCCCCCCGUGGCAAAAUGUGUAGAAUUGCAGGAUAUGAAAUCUAAAACUUUUUUUUUUUCUCCUGUUAGGGGGGGGGCAACGAAAUGUAACUUGGGCACUCAAAAGGCUAGGGCUGUAUGUGUGGGUAUGAAUUCGGGCCACUGAGGCCCUUCAUGUUGAGUUCAGAUUUUGUGGCCCCCAUUCACAUCAAAGUUUCCAAUCCCUGUUCUAGACCAUAAUGAAUAAGAUAACGGGGGAUGAUCCUAAAUCAGCAGCCCUGCUCAGAGUAGUAGUCCUUGGGAAGCUGUACGGAACAGAUCCAGCUGGCAGUGCUUUGCCGCUAGUUGUCUAGAACAGAUCCAGCUGGCAGUGCUUUACCGCUAGGUGUCUAGAACAGAUCCAGCUGGCAGUGCUUUACCGCUAGGUGUCGAGAACAGAUCCAGCUGGCAGUGCUUUACCGCUAGGUGUCUAGAACAGAUCCAGCUGGCAGUGCUUUACCGCUAGGUGUCUAGAACAGAUCCAGCUGGCAGUGCUUUACCGCUAGGUGUCGAGAACAGAUCCAGCUGGCAGUGCUUUACCGCUAGGUGUCUAGAACAGAUCCAGCUGGCAGUGCUUUACCGCUAGGUGUCUAGAACAGAUCCAGCUGGCAGUGCUUUACCGCUAGGUGUCUAGAACAGAUCCAGCUGGCAGUGCUUUACCGCUAGGUGUCUAGAACAGAUCCAGCUGGCAGUGCUUUACCGCUAGGUGUCUAGAACAGAUCCAGCUGGCAGUGCUUUACCGCUAGGUGUCUAGAACAGAUCCAGCUGGCAGUGCUUUACCGCUAGGUGUCUAGAACAGAUCCAGCUGGCAGUGCUUUAACGCUAGGUGUCUAGAACAGAUCCAGCUGGCAGUGCUUUACCGCUAGGUGUCUAGAACCGAUCCAGCUGGCAGUGCUUUACCGCUAGGUGUCUAGAACCGAUCCAGCUGGCAGUGCUUUACCGCUAGGUGUCUAGAACCGAUCCAGCUGGCAGUGCUUUACCGCUAGGUGUCUAGAACCGAUCCAGCUGGCAGUGCUUUACCGCUAGGUGUCUAGAACCGAUCCAGCUGGCAGUGCUUAACCGCUAGUUAUCUCCAUUUUGAUAGACAGACAGACAGAUGUGAGGAAGAGGGUGAACACUGGGAAAGCAGCUGGUGAACGACAGGACCCUGACCUUCUGUUUCUCUCUCUCCUAUUUUUCUCUAUCUUGCCCCCCCCACUGCUCUCUCUGUCUUUCUCACAUUCUCUGUCUC